UUUUGGGCCAUGUGCUUUUUGGCUUUGGACGAGGUGCAAGGAGAUGUUUCUGUUGUCCAUGAAGUUGUGGGGAGACAUUCUUAUCCCUUGUGGCCAAAGAAAGAAAGUGAGCAAUUAUGAAGCCUCCUUGUGACGCAAGAAAACAGAAGUGGCAAGUUUGUGUUGCUGCAUUGAGUGAUGAAGUCUGCAGCUUUGGCAAGUGCCUUGGAGCCUGGAGUGGGUGACAGAACCAACAGCCAUCUCUCCCCUGGCUCCCUCUGCUCCUGGAGAAGAAGCCCAAGAGGAGGAAAUUGAGGUGGAGGAGCGCCAAAGUCCAUCAUUGGCCACACCAGAGCCUGGAUACUCCAAGCCCCUGACAGGACCAACCGCUGUCUCUCCCCUGGCUCCCACUGCUCCUGAAGAAGAAGCUCAAGAGGAGCAAAUUGAGAUGGAUGAGCGCCAGACUCCAUCGUUGGUCUCACCGGAGCCUGGAUAU